rnacentral:rRNA from 1 species
UCGCUGGGGGAUGAGUCUGCGUACCAUUAGCUUGUUGGUGGGGUAACGGCCUACCAAGGCGACGAUGGUUAGCGGGUCUGAGAGGACGAUCCGCCACACUGGAACUGAGACACGGUCCAGACUCCUACGGGAGGCAGCAGUAGGGAAUAUUGCGCAAUGGGGGCAACCCUGACGCAGCAAUGCCGCGUGAGUGAAGAAGGCCUUCGGGUUGUAAAGCACUUUAAGCAGGGAGAAAAAGCAAUAAGUUAAUACCUUAUUGCCGUGAUGUUACCUGCAGAAUAAGCACCGGCUAAUUCCGUGCCAGCAGCCGCGGUAAUACGGAAGGUGCAAGCGUUAAUCGGAAUUACUGGGCGUAAAGCGCGCGUAGGUGGUUUGUUAAGUUGGAUGUGAAAGCCCUGGGCUCAACCUAGGAACUGCAUCCAAAACUAACUCACUAGAGUACGAUAGAGGGAGGUAGAAUUCAUAGUGUAGCGGUGGAAUGCGUAGAUAUUAUGAAGAAUACCAGUGGCGAAGGCGGCCUCCUGGAUCUGUACUGACACUAAGGUGCGAAAGCGUGGGUAGCGAACAGGAUUAGAUACCCCUGUAGUCCUGGCCGUAAACGAUGAACACUAGGUGUCGGGGGAAUCGACCCCUUCGGUGUCGUAGCUAACGCGUUAAGUGUUCCGCCUGGGGAGUACGCACGCAAGUGUGAAACUCAAAGGAAUUGACGGGGGCCCGCACAAGCGGUGGAGUAUGUGGUUUAAUUCGAUGCAACGCGAAGAACCUUACCAGGGUUUGACAUCCUGCGAACCUCUUAGAAAUUUGAGGGUGCCUUCGGGAAUGCAGUGACAGGUGGUGCAUGGCUGUCGUCAGCUCGUGUCGUGAGAUGUUGGGUUAAGUCCCGCAACGAGCGCAACCCACGUUUUUAGUUGCCAGCAUUUAGUUGGGCACUCUAGAAAGACCGCCGGUGAUAAACCGGAGG